UAUGUAUAUAUGUAAAAGAGCCCAAAAUUUGAGGAGUGAAGGGGACAUGAUCAUUCUUGAUAAUAAAAAACACUAUAAUUCUAAAUAUAUUUAAUAUGUUUAAAUUUUCUUUAACUCUCUUCAUCAUAAAAUGCUAUCUUGACUUCAUGCUGAUUAGUAAGGAAAGAAAUGAGGGUGACACAUUUGCAUAAUGCAUCACACUAAUACAAUUUGUUCUUCCUGAGGAAUUGUUAAGAGACUCAAUCAAGAAGGCUCCUAUCAGAGGACCAGCAAACAGGACCUGACAAAAGAACUUCAAGCUAUGAUGCACAGUAGACUGGGGAGACCGAAGAUCUUUUCUUGAAGACAAGAAAGGAAGCUGAAUUUAAUGAAGGACAUAAUAAGAUACACCAAGCAUAUGGGAAGAAAAAAAUUAAUAAGCUCACCUCUUUCAAGUAGCUUCCUCCACCAGAAUAUCAAUAAGUUCCAAUUGAAGAGCGGAUUCUUUUGCAAUUCAGGCAUGUGCCGGCGAUAACGGGCGAGUUGGCAAGCAGAGAGGCAGAGAUGGAUUAAUUAUGCAGAGAACAUGGAAAUUCUGCUUAUCAUCGGCUAGCAAAGGAGCCCGGCUCACAUAAUCAGCAAACGAAGGGAGAGGGAAAAAAUAACAAUGCAAUGGCACCUUCCAGCCCGUCAUCAGGAUUUUUUCUACCCCCUUGUAAUUAAAAAAUAACAUACACUUAUAGCCCUAUCUCCUGUGCAGGCAAGGAGUGGAUGUCCACAAAAUAAUUGCACUGGAUAUUAGAGCUGGCACCACUGGCUGUCCAGCCUUGCCUGCUCACCUUCUUUCUCUGUUGGCCUCUCAAGGCACUUUGCUUCUGAGCGCAGUCCAAUCAGACGGUGUCUCAGACGACGACGCUCUAGUUCAGUUUCCAAAAACCUUAAAUUGGCACCUUAUCAUGAUCCACGCAAAUACACAUACAUAUAUGAUAAAUAUUUACAGGGCUGACUCUGGAGAAAGCUUGGGACCUGAUCACCUGCAGAUUAUCUGCUCAGUUUCGGAGUUCUUUUCCUUUUUUCCCCCACUCAUGAAACAUGUCCAAAAAGCCUUCAGUUUGCAAGUGGUUGGAUUAAAAUGGUGAGCCGUGCAAUGACCACGCUCUCUUCUCAAAUGAUACCACUUAUUUACAACUCUCUUUUCUACCCCCUUUGCCAAUUGACUUCAUACCUUCUAGUAUGCACUGAUAAAAAAUUAAAUCUGUGAUUCCAAACCAGAAGUCAGAAUUCUGUAUUGUUAGUGUGAAAUAUGACAGCUCAAAGCUUUCUAUGUCUCUGAAUGCCAAAACACUACAAUAAACCUAGUUCCCUGCUUUAAAGAAAAUCGUGUUUAAGCUCACAUACGUACCCAGGUGUUUCUCUACUUAGAAUACUAACAGGCGUGUUAAAUAAUGAUGCUUAGCAGCAGAAGCUAUAGAGCUAGCUAGGCUCCCUUUUGCAAUCAUAACUCUAAUCAUUUGACCUAAUUAAGGGCAUAAGCCCAAGAGGCUCUGGACACAUCAGCGACCAUUCCUUCCUGCAAUGUUAUUGUUAAGCUACAGAACGAUAAA